rnacentral:lncRNA from 1 species
ACUACUUAUAAAAGAAAGAGUUUUAAAUUUUUUUCUUAAAUGCCGGUCCCUAUUAAUAUAAUUCCUAUUUAAUUUCAAUUACAUACUAGCAAUAUCAUUCAUUCAACUUUAAUAGAAUAAAUAAAUCACAAUCGUACAAUUUUUAUUUUAUUUUUAUAUUAUCAUAAAAUAUAUUAAUUCUUAAUCAUUGGAUCAAAUCCAAUGGCUGACAAAUUAAGUAUCUGUCAUUUUUUUUACCGAAAUUGCCCUCAAAUAGUGCGUAUCAAAUUUCUACCAUAUCUCCUAAUAACCGCUCACAUAAAAUUGUAUUUUUAUCACAAAUAAUAUUCGCAAUCUAUCACCCAGAUAAUAUCCAAUCACGUAAUACCUUCCGAAUAUAUAAUAUUUAAUCAUAUAUGGUUAAAAGUGAAUAUAUAAAAAUUAUCUCAAUUUUAUCUACUAAUAUUUAAAAUAUGAGAUAUUUUCCAAUAAAAUAUACCAUAUAAACUUAUAAUUUAAAAUUUUAAAUUUAUAGAUAAAUAUGAUUCAUAAAUUUAUAUUGAUUUGAAAUAAUUAUUAAAAUAUUUGUUGACAGAUUCUUUUUAGUAGGAAAAAAUAUUGCAUUCCAUUUGCGAUAACAAAAAAAAUUCAUACUUAUCCAAAUUUUUGUCAACCGAAGAAUAUCUACUACAGAAUAUUUUCAGAAGUGCCCCAUAAAAGUAUAUCCAUACUCAUCAAAAAAAUAAAAAUCUCUACGCAAUACACAUUAAAAAUAUUUAGUAUCCACUAUCUCUCAAUUAACUAACUAAAAAAAAUUUAGCUUUAAAAA